AUUGAACGCUGGCGGAAUGCUUUACACAUGCAAGUCGAACGGCAGCACGGGAGCUUGCUCCUGGUGGCGAGUGGCGAACGGGUGAGUAAUGCGUCGGAACGUGCCGAGUAAUGGGGGGAUAACGCAGCGAAAGUUGUGCUAAUACCGCAUACGCCCUGAGGGGGAAAGUGGGGGAUCGCAAGACCUCACGUUAUUCGAGCGGCCGACGUCUGAUUAGCUAGUUGGUGGGGUAAAGGCCUACCAAGGCGACGAUCAGUAGCGGGUCUGAGAGGAUGAUCCGCCACACUGGGACUGAGACACGGCCCAGACUCCUACGGGAGGCAGCAGUGGGGAAUUUUGGACAAUGGGCGCAAGCCUGAUCCAGCCAUGCCGCGUGAGUGAAGAAGGCCUCGG
rnacentral:rRNA from 1 species